rnacentral:rRNA from 1 species
GAAUAUUGCACAAUGGGGGAAACCCUGAUCCAGCCAUGCCGCGUGUGUGAAGAAGGCCUUCGGGUUGUAAAGCACUUUUGUCCGGAAAGAAAAGCUUCGGGUUAAUACCCCGGGGUCCUGACGGUACCGGAAGAAUAAGCACCGGCUAACUUCGUGCCAGCAGCCGCGGUAAUACGAAGGGUGCAAGCGUUACUCGGAAUUACUGGGCGUAAAGCGUGCGUAGGUGGUUUGUUAAGUCUGAUGUGAAUGCCCUGGGCUCAACCUGGGAAUGGCAUUGGAUACUGGCGAGCUAGAGUGCGGUAGAGGGUAGUGGAAUUCCCGGUGUAGCAGUGAAAUGCGUAGAGAUCGGGAGGAACAUCUGUGGCGAAGGCGACUACCUGGACCAGCACUGACACUGAGGCACGAAAGCGUGGGGAGCAAACAGG